CCUACGGGAGGCAGCAGUGGGGAAUUUUGGACAAUGGGCGCAAGCCUGAUCCAGCAAUGCCGCGUGAGUGAAGAAGGCCUUCGGGUUGUAAAGCUCUUUUGUCAGGGAAGAAACGGUGGGAGCUAAUAUCUCCUACUAAUGACGGUACCUGAAGAAUAAGCACCGGCUAACUACGUGCCAGCAGCCGCGGUAAUACGUAGGGUGCAAGCGUUAAUCGGAAUUACUGGGCGUAAAGCGUGCGCAGGCGGUUUUGUAAGUCUGUCGUGAAAGCCCCGGGCUCAACCUGGGAAUUGCGAUGGAGACUGCGAGGCUUGAAUCUGGCAGAGGGGGGUAGAAUUCCACGUGUAGCAGUGAAAUGCGUAGAGAUGUGGAGGAACACCGAUGGCGAAGGCAGCCCCCUGGGUCAAGAUUGACGCUCAUGCACGAAAGCGUGGGGAGCAAACAGGAUUAGAUACCCUGGUAGUCCACGCCCUAAACGAUGUCUACUAGUUGUCGGGUUUUAAUUAACUUGGUAACGCAGCUAACGCGUGAAGUAGACCGCCUGGGGAGUACGGUCGCAAGNUUAAAACUCAAAGGAAUUGACGG
rnacentral:rRNA from 1 species